GAUGAACGCUGGCGGCGUGCCUAACACAUGCAAGUCGAACGCUCGCAAGAGAGUGGCGCACGGGUGAGUAACACGUAGCUAAUCUGCCCUCAAGACAAGGAUAACUGUAGGAAACUACUGCUAAUACUUGAUAAGCUUACGGACUGUAGAGGUCUAUAAGAAAGAUUUAUCGCUUGAGGAUGAGGCUGCGCGCCAUCAGCUAGUUGGUAAGGUAAUGGCUUACCAAGGCGACGACGGCUAGGGGACCUGAGAGGGUGACCCCCCACACUGGGACUGAGACACGGCCCAGACUCCUACGGGAGGCAGCAGUGAGGAAUAUUGCUCAAUGGGCGGCAAGACCUGAAGCAGCGACGCCGCGUGGAUGAAGAAGGUUUUCGGACUGUAAAAUCCUUUUCUGUGUGACGAGAGUGGACGGUAGCACAGGAAUAAGUCUCGGCUAACUACGUGCCAGCAGCCGCGGUAAU
rnacentral:rRNA from 1 species